rnacentral:rRNA from 1 species
AACGAACGCUGGCGGCGUGCCUAACACAUGCAAGUCGUGCGAGAAAGUUCCUUCGGGAGCGAGUAAAGCGGCGCACGGGUGAGUAACACGUAGGUAACCUGCCCCCCAGUCUGGAACAACUAGAGGAAACUCUAGCUAAUGCCGGAUGAGACCACGAUCCCUUCGGGGGUUGCGGCCAAAGAUGGCCUCUACUUGUAAGCUAUCGCUGAGGGAUGGGCCUGCGGGCCAUUAGCUUGUUGGUGAGGUAACGGCUCACCAAGGCUGUGAUGGCUAGCUGGUCUGAGAGGAUGACCAGCCACACUGGGACUGAGACACGGCCCAG